rnacentral:lncRNA from 1 species
UUCUCCAGUGUCCAUGACCUCUGCCCUGCACCCCCCCACACACACAAUUUAAAGUCAAAAAUCCCCUUCCUCUUGCCUCCAUGUGUUUGUAUCAUUGAAGUAAUUUAAUAUUUGUUGUAAAAUAGGUCUGGCUUCUUUACCUCCUUAUUCCAACUGUCAUUUCCCCCCUUCGGCUUAAGAUUUACCACCAUUUGACUCGAAGGAUUAACUUACUCAUUAUCGUAUAUUUUAACAAUGUUUAUUAUUUCUGUAUCCUUCCACAGAACCACCCCCCCACACACACCCACACCCACAUACACAUGCACACGGAAGAAGUUACUUGGAGUAGGUUAUACCUGGGGCCUGGAAACAGAAAUCUGAGGCGCCCUCCUCCCUCAAUUUGUGGCUUAGGUGGAGGCACGGGUCCAGGCAGAACUGGUGUUUCUUUUUGGGUACCACAGAAGGGAGGAUGGACUGACAAGGUUGGGAGUCCUGGUGGUGGUGGUGGGGUAUAUCCAUGGAGGAGUCGUUUUCUGGUUGCAGAGAGACAUGAGGGGAGGUCAACCUACACCGGGCCAUCAGUGGGGUCUGCAGGAGGAAAAGAGAGGACGCAUUGGCUGGACCCACAUGCCCAUUUUACAGCCGGGAACGGUGAAACUUACAGUAUUUCCGGUACAAGAGCCAUAAGUACAAUAAGGGACCGGAUGGCAUUCCUUCCAUGGGAAAUCCAUUUCCUCUCCUCUGCUCUCUCAGUGACCCCUCCCCACCCCUCCUCCAUACACACACUUACCAGUGGGGGCUGCUGUAUGUCUCUGCUGCCGAAGAGGGAAGGUAAAAUAGGCAUCAUAGCCAAAGAGGCAGGUAGCGAGGAGACCCAGGACCUGGAAGUGCACACAGGACUGAGGACUGACCUAGCUGGUCAGCCAGCCUACUGCCCUUCUUACCUCCCUGUGGUCACCACCUCCAGCGACUCCCAUGCAGGGUGGUGACUCAAGCCCCUGCCUGGGAAACCAGGCAGGCCUAGCGAAAGGCCAGGGGGACUGAAAUCUAUCCCAUCUUUCUUCCUAGCUCCUCUCAACACAGGGCAGCCACACCCCACAUGGAGGGGAUGCGGUUCAUACUGGGUUUGCGACAAAGUUCUAGCAGAUGGUUGCCUAGUGUGACAAAGCAGCCAUCUGUUUAUACCUCCCCAAAAGGUCCCUGCGUGGGGCAAGGGACAGCCCUGUAUAGCAGAUGAACAUCUUGGGAAGCAAAGCGGGGAGGUGGGGAGAGGUGAGGCCAGACUUUCCUGCAAGCCCUUAGGGCAAGUAUGGUCCGCUGGGGGUAGGGGGAGGGUCACAUACUUUCUGCAGGAAGUAG